rfam:Asian citrus Psyllid, Diaphorina citri - Florida Strain, whole genome shotgun sequence.
GCCUCGGUGGCGUAGUGGUAAAGACGCUCGCCUUGUAAUCAGGAGGGCGUGGGUUCGAUCCCAGCCGAGGUA